CUAUCUUCUUGAAAAUGGUGGGGGCAAAAGGAAUACCAUAUACCAGCAACCUAAAAUGAUAUCUAAUACAGCAAU